rnacentral:rRNA from 1 species
CCCUUAGAUGUCCUGGGCCGCACGCGCGCUACACUGAUGCAUUCAACGAGUUUUACCUUGGCCGAGAGGCCUGGGCAAUCUUUUAAACCUGCAUCGUGAUAGGGAUAGAUUAUUGCAAUUAUUAAUCUUGAACGAGGAAUUCCUAGUAAACGCAGAUCAUCAAUCUGCAUUGAUUACGUCCCUGCCCUUUGUACACACCGCCCGUCGCACCUACCGAUUGAAUGGUCCGGUGAAGCCUCGGGAUUGUGGCCAGUUCACUUUACUGGGAGUUGGCUGCGAGAACUUGUCUAAACCUUAUCAUUUAGAGGAAGGUGAAGUCGUAACA